CAAGUAUUCUCUCCAUCCGGAAUUACUUGUCAUCAAAAUGGAUGUGUCUAGAACUAAAAUACAUCUAGAUACAUCCAUUUCAAUGACAAGUAUUUUCGGACAGAGGGAGUACAAG
rnacentral:pre_miRNA from 1 species